AUUGAACGCUGGCGGCAUGCCUUACACAUGCAAGUCGAACGGUAACGGGCCUUCGGGUGCCGACGAGUGGCGAACGGGGGAGUAAUACAUCGGAACGUGCCCGAUCGUGGGGGAUAACGAGGCGAAAGCUUUGCUAAUACCGCAUACGAUCUACGGAUGAAAGCAGGGGACCGCAAGGCCUUGCGCGGACGGAGCGGCCGAUGGCAGAUUAGGUAGUUGGUGGGAUAAAAGCUUACCAAGCCGACGAUCUGUAGCUGGUCUGAGAGGAUGAUCAGCCACACUGGGACUGAGACACGGCCCAGACUCCUACGGGAGGCAGCAGUGGGGAAUUUUGGACAAUGGGCGCAAUCCUGAUCCAGCCAUGCCGCGUGCAGGAUGAAGGCCUUCGGGUUGUAAACUGCUUUUGUACGGAACGAAAAGCCUUCUUUUAAUACAGGAGGGUCAUGACGGUACCGUAAGAAUAAGCACCGGCUAACUACGUG
rnacentral:rRNA from 1 species